CCUACGGGUGGCAGCAGUGGGGAAUAUUGGACAAUGGGGGAAACCCUGAUCCAGCGACGCCGCGUGAGUGAAGAAGUAUUUCGGUACGUAAAGCUCUAUCAGCAGGAAAGAAAAUGACGGUACCUGACUAAGAAGCCCCGGCUAACUACGUGCCAGCAGCCGCGGUAAUACGAAGGGGGCAAGCGUUAUCCGGAUUUACUGGGUGUAAAGGGAGCGUAGGCGGCAGCGAAAGUCUGGAGUGAAAGGCCGGGGCCCAACCCCGGCACUGCCCUGGAAACUGGGAAGCGGGAGUGCAGGAGAGGUAAGCGGAAUUCCUGGUGUAGCGGUGAAAUGCGUAGAUAUCAGGAGGAACACCGGCGGCGAAGGCGGGUUACUGGACUGUAACUGACGUUGAGGCUCGAAGGCGAGGGGAGCAAACGGGAUUAGAUACCCGGGUAGUC
rnacentral:rRNA from 1 species